CAGAUAAACAGACUGGCCUUUUCCUUAGCUCUUAGUAGGAUUACACAUGCAAGCAUCCCCACCCCAGUGAAAAAUGCCCUCUAGAUCACCGGAUCAAAAGGAGCAGGUAUCAAGCAUGCAUGAAUGCACCUCAAAACACUUUGCUCAACCACACCCCCACGGGAAACAGCAGUGAUAAAUCCUUAGUAAUAAAUGGAAGUUUGACCAAGCCAUACUAAUAUUUAGGGUUGGUUAAUUUCGUGCCAGUCACGUGGCCAUAAGAUUAACCCAAGCUAAUAGAACUUGGCGUAAAGAAUGUUUAAGGUCUACCCUCAAUAAAGCUAAACUCCAUUUAAGCUGUAAAAAAACUCCAGCUGAAAUAAAAUAUACUACAAAAGUGGCUUUAAUAUCCUGAAGACACAAUAGCUAAGAUCGAAACUUGGAUUAGAUACCCCACUAUGCUCAGCUCUAAACUCUAAUAGUUAGAUUAACAAAACCACUCGCCAGAGUACUACAAGAAACAGCUGAAAACUCAAAGGACUUGGUGGUGCUUUAUAUCCCCCUAGAGGAGCCUGUUCUAUAUUGAUAAACCCUGAUGCACCUCAGUACCUCUUGCCACCAGCCUAUAUACCGCCAUCUUCAGCAAACCCUAAAAAGAUCACAAUGUAAGCACAAGUACACACAUAAAAACAUUAGGUCAGGCCGGGCGCGGUGGCUCACGCCUGUAAUCCCAGAACUUUGGGAGGCCGAGGCAGGCGGAUCACAAGGUCAGGAGAUCGAGACCAUCCUGGGUAACAUGGUGAAACCCCGUGUCUACUAAAAAUACAAAAAAUUAGCCGGGCAUAGUGGUGUGCACCCAUAGUCCCAGUUACUCGGGAGACUGAAGCAGGAGAAUGGCGUGAACCCGGGAGGUGGAGCUUGCAGUGAGCCCAGAUCAGGCCACUGUAGUCCAGCCUGGGCAACAGAGUGAGACUCUGUCUCAAAAAACAAAAAACAAAAAAUGUUAGGUCAAGGUGUAGCCCAUGAAGUGGCAUGAAAUGGGCUACAUUUUCUAUGUCCAGAAAAUUUCACAACAACCUUUAUGAAAUCUAAGAGCUCAAGGAGGAUUUAGCAGUAAACCAAGAGCAGAGUGCUUGGUUGAAUAAGACCAUGAAGCAUGCACACACCACCCGUCACCCUCCUCAAAUAUUACUGUAGAAAUCACUAUUACUAAUAGUUUUAUAUGCACAUAUAGAAGAGAUAAGUUGUAACAUGUUAGGCAUACUGGCAAGUGUGCUUGGACAAACCAAAGU
rnacentral:rRNA from 1 species